UAGGUCGACCCGCUGAACUUAAGCAUAUCACUAAGCGGAGGAAAAGAAACUAACCAGGAUUCCCUCAGUAACGGCGAGUGAAGAGGGAAGAGCCCAGCACCGAAGCCUGUGGCCGUUUGGCCCCUAGGCAAUGUGGUGUUCAGGUUGGCUCGCGGGGAUGCUGCUCCACCCUAAGUCCUAUAAUGAGUAAGGUUACUCGGACAUGGCCCAUUGAGGGUGAAAGGCCCGUGGGGGUGGAGAGUCAGACUGGCCAGUAUCUCCCUGAGCAGACCUUGGAGUCGGGUUGUUUGUGAAUGCAGCCCAAAGUGGGUGGUAAACUCCAUCCAAGGCUAAAUACUAGCACGAGUCCGAUAGCGAACAAGUACCGUGAGGGAAAGUUGAAAAGUACUUUGAAGAGAGAGUAAACAGUGCGUGAAGCCGUUCAGAGGUAAACGGGUGGAGUUGAACUGCAAGCUCUGAGGAUUCAACUGGUGAGAUUGGCGUGAGCUUGGUCACGUGGGUUGUAUUUCCGUGUCUGCUUAGCUGCAGGUCCUCGCCUCGGUGGGGAUGCGCGUCUGGCUUAUCAAGCUUUGCGCGCACGGGAGUCUUCGGGCCCGCUUGCCAGUGCACUUUCUCAGAGUGUUCACCACGACCGGCGUUGCCGUCUGGCUGAUGUGGUUAAACCGGCCUUGUAGGGUCCUUGUGGCCUUGCUUGGUCGGGAUGGCAGGUAGCUCGUUGUGUAUUUAUAUGCUUCGGGUGUUAUAGCCGACUGCAUUGGUUCUGUGCGGUACGUCGGAGACGGCGGCUUGCUGUGCGUGCGGGCGUGCCUGUGUGCCGGCGGCUCUGGGUCUGGUUGCCUUGUUGCUUGUGAAUGCAGGCCAGGUGAUGGCUCGGGGUCGUUCGGUAUGCGGUUGCGUUCGUGGCACUUUGACAGGGCCCACAGUCUGUGGUGUAGUGGUAGACUAUCCACCCGACCCGUCUUGAAACACGGACCAAGGAGAGUAACAUGUGCGCGAGUCAUUGGGCGUUACGAAACCCAAAGGCGUAGUGAAAGUAAAGGUUCGGCUUGUCCGGGCUGAGGUGAGAUCCCGUCGUUUCUCACGCAUGGUCUACCAAGCAUGGAGCGGCGGGCGCAUCACCGGCCCGUCCCAUGGCGUAGUGGCGGCUUCGGCUUGUCCAUCGUCGGGGCGGAGCAUGAGCGUACAUGUUGAGACCCGAAAGAUGGUGAACUAUGCUUGCGCAGGUUGAAGCCAGAGGAAACUCUGGUGGAGGACCGCAGCGAUUCUGACGUGCAAAUCGAUCGUCAAACGUGAGUAUAGGGGCGAAAGACUAAUCGAACCAUCUAGUAGCUGGUUCCCUCCGAAGUUUCCCUCAGGAUAGC
rnacentral:rRNA from 1 species